AGAUCUUGAUGCGUUUGCUAUGGUUUGUAUAUGCAUUAAACUGUCUGGAAUAACCUCUAUGCAAAGCGCGCUUGUAUGUUGCAUGCAUGUGCAUGUGUGUGAUGUUUUUGUGGGUUUAUAUUAGUUGUGAGAUCCUUAUAGAAAACAUUGAUUUUAUUCAGUUAAGAGAGAGAAAAAGGGUAAAAGGUAAACUCAAAUGGCUUAGGUUGAGGCAGGAAAAAAGCAUUUCAUUUAUAAGCACCUAAUAGAGAACAUGGUUUUUGGCAAGCUGAAAGGAUUUAUUUGGCCUACUGCUAUUAAUUCGGAAUCAAGGAUUAGUUUGCGUGAUACCCUAAAUCAGCAGAAGAUGGUAUCUAAUUACAUUCUGUUCAUUCUAUAUACUAUAUACUAUAUGUUUGGUCCUUUGAAAAACCAAGUGCAUUAAGCUUCUACAUUAUUGAACCUUUGUCGACUGAAAAACCUAGGAUAGGUUUUAUGAGGCAGUGUAAUACAAGAAUAUUUUGCAGUAAGCCCCUCACAUGCAAAUUCUCUCAGUAGUCCCUCUUUUGGGGUGUGUGUUAUGUUCUCCUCUACUUAUGUUCUUGACAAGUUGGUCAGUGCUGAAGGAUAGCCUAAUAUGUGAUUUGGAAUAACUGGAUUCUGUAAGCCCUUAGCUUUGCUUGUGUGAGCUAAGGUUGGUUUGUGCUCUGAUACUGUAAGUCAUGACUCAUGAGUCAUGACCUUAGACCUGAGUGGGCUAUUAAUCUAACAAUUGAGACUAGGCUAGGACCAUCCACAUGGCCCAAAGCAAACCCUUUAUGGCUAGUAGUACACUUAUAUAAUGAAGUUACUGACUUGUAAUCACCUACUAUUUUUAUAAGGUUAUAUCAUGGAACGCGUUUUGUUGACCUUUUACCCUUGGCUCAUUUUUCACAUCAACUGGGGACAACUUAUCCAGAUUUUAUUUCGUUUUAAGUGCUAUUUUCUGGCAUCACUGUGUGUGUCCCAGGUUGCAAAUUUGCAACCAUGCAUGUUUUGAGUUGCAAAUUUCAACCCUGCUUUGGGUGGCCAAUACUGGGUUUGACCUGUUAUGCUUCCAUAUAUGUGCAAGGUGACCUGAGUGGGAUUCCAUUUAGAUCUAUUUUUUAAGAUUGUAGAAUGAAUUGUGCAUCCAUUUUUUUUU
rnacentral:misc_RNA from 1 species